UUGCCAUAUGGAGUGAGAAGACUCGAAUUCUAGGUGUAGGAUUCCUCGCUUUCGUGGCAGCAGAUAUGAAUGUUAUAUGUACUGCAGAAAAGAGCAGAGACCGACCUUUUUAUCUGGACAAUAACAUGGUACGACUCAAGGGUUUAUCCUUCAGAAUGGAUUAUUAGAUACAGAUUCUUGGGUCCAGCAUUCACUUGGUGUAAUCAUAGGUGUAAUUUUUGGAGGGGGA
rnacentral:lncRNA from 1 species